CCCUUAGAUGUUCUGGGCCGCACGCGCGCUACACUGAUGCAUUCAACGAGUUUUUCCUUGGCCGAGAGGCCUGGGCAAUCUUUUAAACGUGCAUCGUGAUAGGGAUAGAUUAUUGCAAUUAUUAAUCUUGAACGAGGAAUUCCUAGUAAACGCAGAUCAUCAAUCUGCAUUGAUUACGUCCCUGCCCUUUGUACACACCGCCCGUCGCUCCUACCGAUUGAAUGUUCCGGUGAGCUCUUCGGACUGCGCGGUCUGCAGUUUCUGCGUUCCGUGCGGAAAGUUGCGCAAACCUUAACAUUUAGAGGAAGGAGAAGUCGUAACA
rnacentral:rRNA from 1 species